UAGCGGGCCAAUGGAGACUCAUUGUCUACGCCUCCAUCUAAACCCCACCCUUCACGGAAAAUAAUACUAAAACUCGCAAUCAAAAAGACUGGCAGUGAUAGCAAAGCAACAGACAUCGAAAGCAAAGAUACGAGUAAGCGUAACCAAAAGGCUACUGUUUGGCCGUAGCCCACGCCAAAUAAAUGAAAGAUAACCUACAAACCAACCGGAACCUUCUCUUGUGGAAGCACAGACAUAAGAGAAAGAACAAUGGCUAAACCUGGUCUUAACUUCCAAUGCUCCAUCCCCCUGCCCAACCCCCCUCCACGCCACUCCGCCAACCACCAGGACGCCCUGCAUCAGAACAUUCCUGGCAUUCCCGUGAUUGGCAUGUCCCUGGCAUGACCCUGCGAACACUGGGUACUGGAAACAAACCUUCCUACCUACCACAGCCAUCCUACAGGACUUGAAACAAGAACUUCUAAGCCUCCACUCCAACCCCUCCAUUCAAACCACCUCAUGUGCCUCUGUAUUCCUGUUUUCUCAGUGUAAUAAAUAUCUAAUACUG